GAAAUGCGAUAAGUAGUGUGAAUUGCAGAAUUCAGUGAAUCAUCGAAUCUUUGAACGCACAUUGCGCUUCGUGGUAUUCCGCGGAGCAUGCUCGUUUCAGAAUCAUUAAAAAACUCACAUCCUGUGGACUGUUGUAGGGUUUUUACUCUUUGCGGUUGACCCCUGCAACAAGUCCUCUAGGUUUGUAGGAUAUGGGCACUUUGCUUUAGUCAAUUGCCUCAAAAUCAGAGAGUGCGUGACUUAUUAUUGAUUUGGACAACCCUCAGUGCAACAGCUUUAGAUUCACUCCUGGGCCCAAAUUGAGAGUCACCACCUGUCGAGAACACAGAGCCGGUCAGUAGGAAUGCUUCCGGCUCUGACAACUUGGUCUGAAAUCGAGCAAGAAAACCCGCUGAACUUA
rnacentral:misc_RNA from 1 species